rnacentral:rRNA from 1 species
UGGGGAAUUUUGGACAAUGGGCGCAAGCCUGAUCCAGCAAUGCCGCGUGAGUGAAGAAGGCCUUCGGGUUGUAAAGCUCUUUCAGUCGAGAAGAAAAGGUUGUGACCAAUAAUCACAACUCAUGACGGUAUCGACAGAAGAAGCACCGGCUAACUACGUGCCAGCAGCCGCGGUAAUACGUAGGGUGCGAGCGUUAAUCGGAAUUACUGGGCGUAAAGGGUGCGCAGGCGGUUUUGUAAGUCAGAUGUGAAAUCCCCGGGCUUAACCUGGGAACUGCGUUUGAAACUACAAGACUAGAGUGUGGCAGAGGGGGGUGGAAUUCCAUGUGUAGCAGUGAAAUGCGUAGAGAUAUGGAAGAACAUCGAUGGCGAAGGCAGCCCCCUGGGUUAACACUGACGCUCAUGCACGAAAGCGUGGGGAGCAAACAGGAUUAGAUACCCACGUAGUCCCUGAGCGGGCUGGCAAGGCGCAU